UACGUAGGGUGCAAGCGUUGUCCGGAAUUAUUGGGCGUAAAGAGCUCGUAGGCGGUUUGUCGCGUCUGCUGUGAAAACCCGAGGCUCAACCUCGGGCCUGCAGUGGGUACGGGCAGACUAGAGUGCGGUAGGGGAGAUUGGAAUUCCUGGUGUAGCGGUGGAAUGCGCAGAUAUCAGGAGGAACACCAAUGGCGAAGGCAGAUCUCUGGGCCGAUAUUGACGCUGAGGAGCGAAAGCGUGGGGAGCGAACAGG
rnacentral:rRNA from 1 species